AGGCCCUGCUCUGCAAAAAGAAAUAUUUAGAGUGCCUACUGUGUUCUGGGCAUUGCUCCCGUUUGGGGCUAGCUGGAUUUCCUGCAUAAAGCAAGAGAUGAGAAACUCCCCAGCUAAUCUGAAGAAGGCCACUCAAGUAAGCUGCAGCCAUGACAGAAGAAACUGAGACGGAGACAAUUCCGAGUCUGUCUUCCACGGAUAGUAACUCUGCACCCACCCUUGAGCAGUUCCUGGAGCUAAUGAGGCACUUCACGACAGACCCUGACCCUAACGAGGAGACUGUGGAGGUCUCAGCUGACUCAUUCAAAAUGACAAAAGGAGGCACUAGGAUUCGGUUCCUAUAUGCAAGGCGUGAGAUGGGACUCAAGCAGUUGUCCGUGGUCCACACAUCUGAGCUGGAGUCAAGGGAACAUAGUUUUCUGUCUCAAUUUGUCAGAAGCGAUGGGUCAGACUCUGGCCUAAGAAUUCGUUUAAUGUUUCCAAUCCUCUGGCACAAGGACUGGGAAAGGGUGACUGUGGCCCUCGGGCAGCAGGUUGGAAAGCCCAGUCUUGGUAUCUCAGAAGAUGGCAAGCAGAAAGAUUUGUUAACCUGGCUACCUGGGAGGCGGCAGGACGCAGGUCACCUCUGGCCACAUCCCGUUCAUCUCUCACUCUGGAUGCAUAUCUAGGGGACAAUCCGGUCACACUGAGAGGUCAAGUAGGGUUUCCACUGGGGCCACCAAGUGUUGUCCAUCCCCCUUCACCUCCCUUUCCUGGCUAGUUCUUGUCAACUUGAGUCACCCAAGAAGCGGGAACCUCAGUUCUGUGGGAUUCCUAGGCAGGUGGUCCUGGGUUGGAUAAGAGAUCAGGGUAAGCAAGGCUUGGGGAGCAAGCCAGUGAGCAGCACCCCUCCAUGCUCUCCACAUCAGCUCCUGCCUUGAGUUUCUGCCCUGAUUUCCCUGCAUGAUAGACUGCGACACAGGACUGACGCCAAAUAAACCGUUUCUUCCCCC
rnacentral:lncRNA from 1 species